GCAAGCGCAAAAGAGCUAAAUGUCUUUGAAAGAUGAUUUGUGGUGGCCCAACACCUUACUAAAGCACUUUAUGUUGGUUUCCCCCUUUAAUUUCUUGCCCGUCUGUAUACAUACACAUGUAUAGUAAAGUCAUUACAAGGACAUCACUAUAGUAAGGUGAUAGAUGGACGUGAAACUACAUGGAUUUAUAUGGACGUGAGACUACAUGGAUUUCUGUGCUUACAUUUACUGUGAAUUAUUUACAAAUGCCAAUGCUUUUCAGCAACCAUGUCUGAGUCUGUUCAUGAAAGACUCAUUCCCAUAACACACACCAGGGACAUUUUCCAAAAUCACAGUGCUCUGCCCAUUUUCACUUGCCACUACAUCAGCCUAUUAUUUUAUUUCAGGUACAGAAGUUGAAGAUACCCAUUAAUAUCCAAACCCCAUUGCAAUCUAGUAUGUUUUUGUUCAGAUAGAUUUUUAAAGUUUUUAAGCAAUACAUUUUCAUAAUUGUUUUAUUAAUUAUUAUAGACUGUCACUGCACUGCUGCUAUGUCCUUACAUGUGCAGACAUGUUGACAUAGAUUGUUAUUUUUAGCAAGGAUUGCGUUAUAUUUUGACAGGAGCAGUGUCUUAAAUAUGGAAAGGAAGGGAGAGAGCCACAGAGGUCUUCUGUCACAUGUAUAGAGUAGAUGACAUUGUGCACGGACCAUUUAGUCUUUAUAUGGGCUGACCAUUUCUAUCUGGACAUGGACAUGUAGAUGCGUAAGACAUUAAUUGUGUAUCACAAAACUAAUAUUGACAAUGCACAAAUAAAAGUUCCCACAGAAUGAAUUUUAUUUAUUUCCUCUCUAUAUGCAGCGCACAGGUCAAUUUUCUAGAGAGCCUCAUACAUUUUAACCAGUUAACGCUUUCUAAAACUGUAACAGCUGUCCACAGUACCACCUUGUGGCUCAGUGUUGAACUAGUGCUGAAUUAAUAGUAAAUGCUGUCGAUUUGGUUAUACCUCGGUUGCGUGAAAACCCCAAAUAAAAAAGGGGGGCAGUGUUUAUUGCACAUAUUUCUCGAAGAUAUGAAUGCAAAAAUAGUAUUUAACUGUAUUUGACCGUCUCCGGAUUAGCAUUAGCCUCUGCUCCUCAUUAGCCGCCAGAUGGUGUCCCAACCACGCCACCCCUCCACAUACCCCUAGCACCCAACUUAGGCUGGGGACCAUCCGCCACCAGCUACCCUAGUGGGACAGGAAGUCAGCCACCACCAUCUGACCUCCCGGUCUAUGGAUCAUCAUGAGCUUAUAAGCGUACUGGCCCAGUUUCUUCCCCGGUCACCUCUCUCUCAAGCGCAGCUGUUCCUUGAGAGCAAUGAUUGACGUUGCCUCUUCGAAAUUCGCUUGGCCAGCGUUGAACUGAAGCUUUGGAAAGACGGAUUCUCAUCACCACCGAUGUCCACGAUGUGCCUGCAAAUCCUUGCCCUCCAGAGAUAGUCUUUCCACUGAAAGAGGAAACAAGAACUGUAAAUGGAUGUUCUACUGUAUGACAGCGGGCUGGAUCCAUAUUAAAUCUAAAGUCUAAU